UUAAUGCAAUUUGCGAAACCAUUCCAAUCAAUAUAUUUUAAUUAUUUAUUGACAAAAAUUUGCGAGACGAGCUAUGCUGUUCUCCAACAGCUCUUGUAUUACAGGCUGUUGGCACGGUUACAAAUGAAAUAUAAACAGAUGGACUAGAUAUAGAAUAUGACAGGAGAUAUAUCCCACAUAGUCAGAUGGACAGAUGGACUAGAUAUAGAAUAUGACAGGAGAUAUAUCGCAAAUAGUCAGAUGGACAGACGGACUAGAUAUAGAAUAUGACAGGAGAUAUAUCGCAGAUAGUCAGAUGGACAGACGGACUAGAUAUAGAAUAUGACAAGAGAUAUAUCCCACAUAGUCAGAUGGACAGAUGGACUAGACAUAGAAUAUGACAGGAGAUAUAUCGCAGAUAGUCAGAUGGACAGAUGGACUAGAUACAGAAUAUGACAAGAGAUAUAUCCCAGAUAGUCAGAUGGACAGAUGGACUAGAUACAGAAUAUGACAGGAGAUAUAUCCCACAUAGUCAGAUGGACAGAUGGACUAGAUACAGAAUAUGACAGGAGAUAUAUCCCAGAUAGUCAGAUGGACAGAUGGACUAGAUAUAGAAUAUGACAGGUGAUAUAUCCCAGAUAGUCAGAUGGACAGAUGGACUAGAUAGACUAGAUACAGAAUAUGACAGGAGACAUAUCGCAGAUAGUCAGAUGGACAGAUGGACUAGAUACAGAAUAUGACAAGAGAUAUAUCCCAGAUAGUCAGAUGGACAGAUGGACUAGAUACAGAAUAUGACAGGAGAUAUAUCCCACAUAGUCAGAUGGACAGAUGGACUAGACAUAGAAUAUGACAGGAGAUAUAUCGCAGAUAGUCAGAUGGACAGAUGGACUAGAUACAGAAUAUGACAAGAGAUAUAUCCCAGAUAGUCAGAUGGACAGAUGGACUAGAUACAGAAUAUGACAGGAGAUAUAUCCCACAUAGUCAGAUGGACAGAUGGACUAGAUACAGAAUAUGACAGGAGAUAUAUCCCAGAUAGUCAGAUGGACAGAUGGACUAGAUAUAGAAUAUGACAGGUGAUAUAUCCCAGAUAGUCAGAUGGACAGAUGGACUAGAUAGACUAGAUACAGAAUAUGACAGGAGACAUAUCGCAGAUAGUCAGAUGGACAGAUGGACUAGAUACAGAAUAUGACAAGAGAUAUAUCCCAGAUAGUCAGAUGGACAGAUGGACUAGAUACAGAAUAUGACAGGAGAUAUAUCCCUGAUAGUCAGAUGGACAGAUGGACUAGAUACAGAAUAUGACAGGAGAUAUAUCGCAGAUAGUCAGAUGGACAGAUGGACUAGAUAUAGAAUAUGACAGGAGAUAUAUCCCACAUAGUCAGAUGGACAGACGGACUAGGUAUAGAAUAUGACAGGAGAUAUAUCCCACAUAGUCAGAUGGACAGAUGGACUAGGUAUAGAAUAUGACAGGAGAUAUAUCCCAGAUAGUCAGAUGGAAAGAUGGACUAGAUAUAGAAUAUGACAGGUGAUAUAUCCCUGAUAGUCAGAUGGACAGAUGGACUAGAUACAGAAUAUGACAGGAGAUAUAUCCCAGAUAGUCAGAUGGACAGAUGGACUAGAUACAGAAUAUGACAGGAGAUAUAUCCCAGAUAGUCAGAUGGACAGAUGGACUAGAUAUAGAAUAUGACAGGAGAUAUAUCGCAGAUAGUCAGAUGGACAGAUGGACUAGAUACAGAAUAUGACAGGUGAUAUAUCCCACAUAGUCAGAUGGACAGAUGGACUAGAUACAGAAUAUGACAGGUGAUAUAUCCCACAUAGUCAGAUGGACAGAUGGACUAGAUACAGAAUAUGACAGGAGGUAUAUCGCAGAUAGUCAGAUGGACUAGAUAUAGAAUAUGACAAGAGAUAUAUCCCAGAUAGUCAGAUGGACAGAUGGACUAGAUAUAGAAUAUGACAGGAGAUAUAUCCCACAUAGUCAGAUGGACAGAUGGACUAGGUAUAGAAUAUGACAGGAGAUAUAUCCCACAUAGUCAGAUGGACAGAUGGACUAGGUAUAGAAUAUGACAGGAGAUAUAUCCCACAUAGUCAGAUGGACAGAUGGACUAGAUAUAGAAUAUGACAGGAGAUAUAUCCUAUAUGGACAGAUGGACUAUGUGCAAUAUCUAUAUGGUCACAUUGUAAUAUUGGAAGGGGAUUGGGGGGUACUAAUAUAAUUCAGAUUUGCAGUCAUCACAAAAAUGAAAUAAAUCAAGUGGCAAGAGUGUCUUAAUUCAAAUUUUAUACUAAAUUAUAAAAUACGAAAUAUCAUCUCCAUGACAACAAAAACAGCUAUAACAGUAGAGAAGAUUAUUAGAUUCAGUACCCAAAAUAAAAUAGUCUUCCCUCGAGAUGUGGUGCUGUUUAAGACACUUUGGAUUUGUGUUCAUACUUCAGUUCUUUUUUGGUGUAUUUUGUUUUCUAUGAUGCGUUAAUUUUAUUUCAGAUACAGGGUAUUAGAUAAGAUUUUCACCUAAUGUAGAGACACAAAUCUGUUGAUAGUUGUAGAACUCUAACAUCCUGGUUAUUUAUAUUGAUAGUUGUAGAACUCUAACAACCUAGUUAGUAAUAUCGAUAGUUGUAGAACUCUAACAUCCUGGUUAUUAAUAUUGAUAGUUGUAGAACUCUAACAUCCUGGUUAUUAAUAUCGAUAGUUGUAGAACUCUAACAUCCUGGUUAUUAAUAUUGAUAGUUGUAGAACUCUAACAUCCUGGUUAUUAAUAUUGAUAGUUGUAGAACUCUAACAUCCUGGUUAUUUAUAUUGAUAGUUGUAGAACUCUAACAACCUAGUUAGUAAUAUCGAUAGUUGUAGAACUCUACGUUAUUAUUUAUAUUGAUAGUUGUAGAACUCUAACAUCCUGUAUAUUUAUAUUGAUAGUUGUAGAACUCUACGUUAUUAUUUAUAUUGAUAGUUGUAGAACUCUAACUACCUGGAUAUUAAUAUUGAUAGUUGUAGAACUCUACGUUAUUAUUUAUAUUGAUAGUUGUAGAACUCUAACAUCCUGUAUAUUUAUAUUGAUAGUUGUAGAACUCUAACAACCUAGUUAGUAAUAUCGAUAGUUGUAGAACUCUACGUUAUUAUUUAUAUUGAUAGUUGUAGAACUCUAACUACCUGGUUAUUAAUAUUGAUAGUUGUAGAACUCUAAAUACCUAGUUAGUAAUAUCGAUAGUUGUAGAACUCUAACAUCCUGGUUAUUAAUAUUGAUAGUUGUAGAACUCUAACUGCCUGGUUAUUAAUAUCGAUAGUUGUAGAACUUUAAAUACCUGGUUAUUAAUAUUGAUAGUUGUAGAACUCUAACUACCUGGUUAUUAAUAUUGAUAGUUGUAGAACUCUACGUUAUUAUUUAUAUUGAUAGUUGUAGAACUCUAACAUCCUGUAUAUUUAUAUUGAUAGUUGUAGAACUCUAACUGCCUGGUUAUUAAUAUUGAUAGUUGUAGAACUUUAAAUACCUGGUUAUUAAUAUUGAUAGUUGUAGAACUCUAACAUCCUGGUUAUUAAUAUUGAUAGUUGUAGAACUCUAACAUCCUGGUUAUUAAUAUUGAUAGUUGUAGAACUCUAACUACCUGGUUAUUAAUAUUGAUAGUUGUAGAACUCUAACAUCCUGUAUAUUUAUAUUGAUAGUUGUAGAACUCUAACUGCCUGGUUAUUAAUAUUGAUAGUUGUAGAACUCUAACUACCUGGUUAGUAAUAUCGAUAGUUGUAGAACUCUACGUUAUUAUUAAUAUUGAUAGUUGUAGAACUCUAACAUCCUGGUUAUUAAUAUUGAUAGUUGUAGAACUCUACGUUAUUAUUAAUAUUGAUAGUUGUAGAACUCUAACAACCUGGUUAUUAAUAUUGAUAGUUGUAGAACUCUAACAUCCUGUAUAUUUAUAUUGAUAGUUGUAGAACUCUAACUGCCUGGUUAUUAAUAUUGAUAGUUGUAGAACUCUAACUGCCUGGUUAUUAAUAUUGAUAGUUGUAGAACUCUAACUACCUGGUUAGUAAUAUCGAUAGUUGUAGAACUCUACGUUAUUAUUAAUAUUGAUAGUUGUAGAACUCUAACAUCCUGGUUAUUAAUAUUGAUAGUUGUAGAACUCUAACUACCUGGUUAUUAAUAUUGAUAGUUGUAGAACUCUAACUACCUGGUUAUUUAUAUUGAUAGUUGUAGAACUCUAACAUCCUGGUUAUUUAUAUUGAUAGUUGUAGAACUCUAACAACCUAGUUAGUAAUAUCGAUAGUUGUAGAACUCUACGUUAUUAUUUAUAUUGAUAGUUGUAGAACUCUAACAUCCUGUAUAUUUAUAUUGAUAGUUGUAGAACUCUAACAUCCCGGUUAUUAAUAUUGAUAGUUGUAGAACUCUACGUUAUUAUUUAUAUUGAUAGUUGUAGAACUCUAACAUCCCGGUUAUUAAUAUUGAUAGUUGUAGAACUCUACGUUAUUAUUUAUAUUGAUAGUUGUAGAACUCUAACUACCUGGUUAUUUAUAUUGAUAGUUGUAGAACUCUAACUACCUGGUUAUUUAUAUUGAUAGUUGUAGAACUCUACGUUAUUAUUAAUAUUGAUAGUUGUAGAACUCUAAAUACCUGGUUAUUAAUAUUGAUAGUUGUAGAACUCUAACUACCUGGUUAUCAAUAUUGAUAGUUGUAGAACUCUACGUUAUUAUUAAUAUUGAUAGUUGUAGAACUCUAACUACCUGGUUAUUAAUAUUGAUAGUUGUAGAACUCUACGUUAUUAUUUAUAUUGAUAGUUGUACAACUCUAACUACCUGGUUAUUAAUAUUGAUAGUUGUAGAACUCUACGUUAUUAUUAAUAUUGAUAGUUGUAGAACUCUAACAUCCUGGUUAUUAAUAUUGAUAGUUGUAGAACUCUACGUUAUUAUUAAUAUUGAUAGUUGUAGAACUUUAAAUACCUGGAUAUUUAUAUUUAUAGUUGUAGAACUCUAACUACCUGGUCAUUGAUAUUGAUAGUUGUAGAACUCUACGUUAUUAUUAAUAUUGAUAGUUGUAGAACUCUAAAUACCUGGUUAUCAAUAUUGAUAGUUGUAGAACUCUAAAUACCUGGUUAUCAAUAUUGAUAGUUGUAGGACUCUAUGUUAUUUUUAAUAUUGAUAGUUGUAGAACUCUAACUACCUGGUUAUUAAUAUUGAUAGUUGUAGAACUCUAACUACCUGGUUAUUAAUAUUGAUAGUUGUAGAACUCCAACUUCCUGGUUAUUAAUAUUGAUAGUUGUAGAACUCUAACUACCUGUUUAUUAAUAUUGAUAGUUGUAGAACUCUAAAUACCUGGUUAUUAAUAUUGAUAGUUGUAGGACUCUAUGUUAUUUUUAAUAUUGAUAGUUGUAGAACUCUAACUACCUGGUUAUUAAUAUUGAUAGUUGUAGAACUCUAACUACCUGGUUAUUAAUAUUGAUAGUUGUAGAACUCUAACUUCCUGGUUAUUAAUAUUGAUAGUUGUAGAACUCCAACUUCCUGGUUAUUAAUAUUGAUAGUUGUAGAACUCUAAAUACCUGGUUAUUCAUAUUGAUAGUUGUAGAACUCUAACUACCUGUUUAUUAAUAUUGAUAGUUGUAGAACUCUAAAUACCUGGUUAUUAAUAUUGAUAGUUGUAGAACUCUAAAUACCUGGUUAUUAAUAUUGAUAGUUGUAGAACUCUAACUACCUGGUUAUUAAUAUUGAUAGUUGUAGGACUCUAACUACCUGGUUAUUAAUAUUGAUAGUUGUAGGACUCUAAAUACCUGGUUAUUAAUAUUGAUAGUUGUAGGACUCUAAAUACCUGGUUAUUAAUAUUGAUAGUUGUAGAACUCUAACUACCUGGUUAUUAAUAUUGAUAGUUGUAGAACUCUAACUACCUGGUUAUUAAUAUUGAUAGUUGUAGAACUCUAAAUACCUGGUUAUUAAUAUUGAUAGUUGUAGAACUCUAACUACCUGGUUAUUAAUAUUGAUAGUUGUAGGACUCUCUCUUCCUUGUUUAUCAAUACUGGUAUAGGUGUAUUAGGCAUGAAGGUGUGUAAAGAUUGGCUUGAUAUGACCUAUAUAAUAGAUGUUAUAUAUAUGUUAUAUAUGUGUUCAUUAAAUGAUCCACAUUGUUAUCUCAGGUAUAUAUUUAACAUACUGUAUAUAGGUAUAUCAUAGCUACAUAUUCUCCUGACAAGACUAUCGGACUAUUUCAUACUGAACAAAGCAUUCAUCAGAUAUUCAUUUGUUAUGUGUACACACACCUGUUUUAUAACUGAGUUACAUUAAGCCAUGAUAAAGACCUGUAUAUCUAUAUGUAUGUCUCAGAUCAACUCUUCAUUCCAAAAUAAAACAAUGAAUGGUUUAUCACCUACAGGUAUUAUAUACAUGCCCUGUAGAUUGUUUAUUUCAUUGUUUCUUCUGGUAUAUGAUUAUGCAAUGUGACAUAGUAAGAUGAUUGAGGGGAAGAGGGAAGUGUUGUGAUAAAGAAUGUGAUAUUUAUAUAUACAUGUAUACCAAUAUAUAUGGUAUGGAUACCAGUAUGUGGUGUAGUGCUGACAGCAAGUUAUAUGUGCUUGUUUCAUAUUUUAUUGUAGUCUCUUCAACAAAUUAACAAAUAAAAGAUUUGAAUAUUGGAGA